rnacentral:lncRNA from 1 species
UUAACACCCUCCUUCCACACUUUCGUUCCAUUUGGGACACAAGAGGAAGGGAACACAUGGCUGAGGAAUGCUCUUGCACUCCAGAGAUGCAAGUUCCCUGACCACAGAGGUUGGGUCUUUUAAAGAACCUACUGUGUGCUGAGCGCUGUUGUAAGCACUGAGAAAUAAAGAACAAGAGAGGCAAAGUCCCUGAUGUCUCGGAGUUUAUGGUCUUAUGCGGUA